rnacentral:misc_RNA from 1 species
UUAAGUUCAGCGGGUAGUCCUACCUGAUUUGAGGUCAGAUUGUCAAAUGAUGUUGUCCUCACGGACGAUUGUAAGCACGAACACUGUAAUACUGCACGUCUACGGCGUAGAAAUUAUCACACCGAGGGCGAUUCGUAAGAUUCACGCUAAUGCAUUUCAGAGGAGCCGACGCGAACGCCGACACGACCCCCAAGUCCAAG